AUUGAACGCUAGCGGGAUGCUUUACACAUGCAAGUCGAACGGCAGCGCGAAGGAAGCUUGCUUUCUUUGGCGGCGAGUGGCGAACGGGUGAGUAAUGUAUCGGAACGUGCCCAGUAGCGGGGGAUAACUGGCCGAAAGGUCAGCUAAUACCGCAUACGCCCUACGGGGGAAAGGGGGGGAUCGCAAGACCUCUCACUAUUGGAGCGGCCGAUAUCGGAUUAGCUAGUUGGUGGGGUAAAGGCCUACCAAGGCGACGAUCCGUGGCUGGUUUGAGAGGACGACCAGCCACACUGGGACUGAGACACGGCCCAGACUCCUACGGGGGGCAGCAGUGGGGAAUUUUGGACAAUGGGGGAAACCCUGAUCCAGCCAUCCCGCGUGUGCGAUGAAGGCCUUCGGGUUGUAAAGCACUUUUGGCAGGGAAGAAACGGCCUGGGAUAAUACCCUGGGCAACUGACGGUACCUGCAGAAUAAGCACCGGCUAACUACGUGCCAGCCGCCGCGGUAA
rnacentral:rRNA from 1 species